GGUUAGGAGCGGGCGUUUCCUGGCCACAAACCCAGGCGCCACAAGCGAAAGCCGCAGCACCACCACCACCGCGAAAGGAGUCGGUCCCUCGUGGCCAUCGUGAGGUGAGAGAGCCGCGGGGAGCUGAAAAAUUGCAUUAAGAGCGAGCCUAACUCACUCCCAGGUCCGCACGCCACACACUGUCCGCGGUCGUCCCACGCCUACGACCACAGCCACGCGUUCCGUAUCGACGACAGAGGUCUUCUUUAUGGUCCAUUCUAAUCCACCGGCCGACGGUGGAGCUGGAGUCGGAACCGGCCUUGACGGCGCCAGCGCCGGCGCCGGCGCCGGUGGCUCCUUCUCGGUCCAGCAUCAGGUUAGGGCCCUGGGCAUGUCGCUCACGGGCCCGGUGAGCUCCCCUGCCGGGACGUUGUCCGAUGAGGCCGCCAAGAAGAUCCGGAAGCCCUACACCAUCACCAAGUCUAGGGAGAGCUGGACCGAGCAAGAGCACGACAAGUUCCUCGAGGCGCUUCAGCUUUUUGAUCGUGAUUGGAAAAAAAUAGAAGCUUUUGUUGGCUCAAAGACAGUUAUUCAGAUAAGGAGUCAUGCACAAAAGUACUUCUUAAAGGUCCAAAAGAACGGAAACGGUGCACAUGUCCCACCCCCUCGGCCCAAGCGUAAAGCAGCACAUCCAUAUCCACAGAAGGCCUCUAAAAAUGGCAUUGCAGCUCCUCCAUUAGCUCGACCAAUUCCAUUGCAAACUUCAUUUUUGCUUGAACGAGGCUAUGCUCUUGGGACAGAUUCAUCUUCCAAGCUCAGAAACUCUACUACAGAAGGUAUAAAGUCUGGAGGAGCUAUUGUAGUCGACAAUUGCUGUUCAAGCAGCACCGGAAGCCCUCGUGGGUCUCUACCAAAUUGUGAGAAAAACUGUCAAGGGAAUCAAGUGCCAUCACUUCGUGUUGUGCCAGACUUCGUUCAGGUAUACAACUUUUUAGGCAGUGUUUUUGAUCCAAGCACAAGUUGCCAUCUACAGAAGCUAAGUGAGAUGGAUCCUCUUGAUGUUGAAACGGUUUUACUGUUAAUGAGAAAUCUCUCUAUCAACUUGACAAGUCCUGAUUUUGAAGACCAUUUUGAUUCACGCAGAUAAAGCUACUCUCUACGCAUGGUUCUGAUCUGGUGGAACCAAAACCAGCCAGUGUUGACAAUCUACUUAUCGCAAAUUAACCUUUGAAUGCCUUAUACAUGGUAAAAUAUGUAUGAUGGUCUGGCUUCCGUAGCUAUCACAUAAAAGAUGUAUUUGACUGUUCUUUAGCAUUCAAGGAAAGUUGCCAGCUCUGGAGUUGACAAAGAAGAAUAUGCCUACAUUGUUGCUGUAGGUUUCAUCCAAGAAAAAAGCCUUGCUACUGGUGUAUAUUCACAAUCUCACUGUAAGUGGUUAUGGUGAUGUUGCUCUCCUUUCUACAAAUUCCAAUCCGUGAAGGAAUUGCUAACCACACCUUCGUUCUGAGAUCUGCUUACUCCACAAGAGUCGUCUUGCGGAGCCGACAUCCCUUGUGCUGCACCCAAUGUGCUUGUGAAAUAGCCUGCAUAGACCAUCUGGUUUCAAAGCCCUCCAUGGUCGGUCUUCGUGGUGUUUGGUGAAUGUAAAGUCGGUCUUCGUGGUGUUUGGUGAAUGUAAAAAGUUUUUUUGCACUUUGGAUCAUGUUGGAUUCUCGUUUCUUA